GGGCAAGUCUGGUGCCAGCAGCCGCGGUAAUUCCAGCUCCAAUAGCGUAUAUUAAAGUUGUUGCGGUUAAAAAGCUCGUAGUUGAAUUUGUGUUCCGCGCUGUCGGUUCACCGCCCGCGGUGUUUAACUGGCACGUCCGCGGAACGUCCUGCCGGUGGACGCGUAGACCCUGUAUGCUUCCCCAUUGUGCGUGUGCAACUUCGGUUGUUACUGUAUGAUGUGGUGGGGUUGCAGGCGCUUUACCGUCCGACUCAAUAAUCCUGUCGCGGUGCUCUUAAUUGAGUGUCGAGGCGGGCCGGCACGUUUACUUUGAACAAAUUAGAGUGCUCAAAGCAGGCUAAAAUUUCGCCUGAAUACUGUGUGCAUGGAAUAAUGGAACAGGACCUCGGUUCUAUUUUGUUGGUUUUCGGAACCCCGAGGUAAUGAUUAAUAGGGACAGAUGGGGGCAUUCGUAUUGCGACGUUAGAGGUGAAAUUCUUGGAUCGUCGCAAGACGGACAGAAGCGAAAGCAUUUGCCAAAAAUGUUUUCAUUAAUCAAGAACGAAAGUCAGAGGUUCGAAGGCGAUCAGAUACCGCCCUAGUUCUGACCAUAAACGAUGCCAGCUAGCGAUCCGCCGACGUUCCUCCGAUGACUCGGCGGGCAGCUUCCGGGAAACCAAAGCUUUUGGGUUCCGGGGGAAGUAUGGUUGCAAAGCUGAAACUUAAAGGAAUUGACGGAAGGGCACCACCAGGAGUGGAGC
rnacentral:rRNA from 1 species